rnacentral:rRNA from 1 species
GAUGAACGCUGGCGGCGUGCCUAAUACAUGCAAGUCGAGCGAACAGACGAGGAGCUUGCUCCUCUGACGUUAGCGGCGGACGGGUGAGUAACACGUGGAUAACCUACCUAUAAGACUGGGAUAACUUCGUGAAACCGGAGCUAAUACCGGAUAAUAUAUUGAACCGCAUGGUUCAAUAGUUAAAGACGGUUUUGCUGUCACUUAUAGAUGGAUCCGCGUCGCAUUAGCUAGUUGGUAAGGUAACGGCUUACCAAGGCAACGAUGCGUAGCCGACCUGAGAGGGUGAUCGGCCACACUGGAACUGAGACACGGUCCAGACUCCUACGGGAGGCAGCAGUAGGGAAUCUUCGGCAAUGGGCGAAAGCCUGACGGAGCAACGCCGCGUGAGUGAUGAAGGUCUUCGGAUCGUAAAACUCUGUUAUUAGGGAAGAACAAAUGUGUAAGUAACUAUGCACGUCUUGACGGUACCUAAUCAGAAAGCCACGGCUAACUACGUG